rnacentral:rRNA from 1 species
UACGUAGGGUGCGAGCGUUAAUCGGAAUCACUGGGCGUAAAGCGCACGUAGGCGGCUUUCUAAGUCAGGGGUGAAAUCCUGGAGCUCAACUCCAGAACUGCCUUUGAUACUGGAGAGCUCGAGUCCGGAAGAGGUGAGUGGAACUGCGAGUGUAGAGGUGAAAUUCGUAGAUAUUCGCAAGAACGCCAGUGGCGAAGGCGGCUCACUGGUCCGGUACUGACGCUGAGGUGCGAAAGCGUGGGGAGCAAACAGG